rnacentral:lncRNA from 10 species
AAAUAAGGUUUAAUUUUCUACCGCCCCCCAAAAAAAUAUAUAUAUGUAUAUAUGUUAAAUGACUGGAUAUAAGGAUAAGGAAAAAAGAGGAGUCAAAGACAAUUCCCAAGUUCUAAUUUGUAAGUAGUGUCAAUCACUCAGAUAGAGGGGAAUACAAAAACAGGCACAAGUUUGAGAAAAGAUGAGGUUCUCACUUUACAACAAGUUGAGUUUAGGACACCUGGAGCUGAGGAAAGAGGUCUGGACUAGCUGGUAGCUCACCCACUAACUGAACAAUAGACAACAACAAUUUUAAAACACAGCAAAAAACAAAUUAGAAUCUUACUGGGACUCUUUACUUCAUAUUAUAUUUGAAUUUCAUGAGCACAUAAUCUAUGUGCUAAAAAUUCCUAGUGGUAAAACUAUUAUUCUGAGAGAAUGGACUACCACACUGUUCUGAUUGGAAAAAGGACAGAUGUAGGAUGAGGCGAUUGAUGAGUUUGUUGUCAUUUGAAGAGAGUUUAAAGGUUCCUUUCAAAAGAGUCAAAGAUAUUAGAAAGCCAUUCCUUUAAGUAGCCCUUUUAUUUACAUCUGUCAGUGCAGUAAGAGAUUAACCUGUACUGGGGAAGAAAUCUGCUAGAACAUAGAAUGAGAGCAAGCUGCUUCAUAAAUUACUGAUGCUAAGCUGUCUGACUCUUAAGAUUUACAGUGUUUUAGAAAAUUAAAUUUAUAUCAGGUAUGAGCUAGUAAGAAAUUUCUUCGUUAAACUUGGCUUUUUAUGAUUUUGUCUUUUUAAAAGAAGUAUUCUCUUUAAAAAUUAAUGUGUAAUAUCUUCAGAUGUUUUGACAAGAAUUCUACUUUUAUUUUAAAAAUAACUGUGUUGAAAGUUAGCAGUUUUUAUCUGGGUCUUGGUUUAAAGUACUUAUAUACUGUCAUUCAGAUUACAGACCAUAUAACCAAAGUACUGUCUCGCUAAUUGUAAGUUAUUCUAACUGAAAAUAAAGUACCUUCCCUCCAAAACAUUCAUUUAAUGGCUGAAAUUGUAAAUCGUGAUGUAUAAAAGAUAUUAUGUUAUAGAUUCCUAGAGCUAAUUCCUAGUUUUCAGCCCCAAACUCCCAUAUAAUUCUUUCAAAAAACACAAAACAGAAAUUGGUCUUGUUACUCUACAAAAUUAAACUGAACAUUUACUAUUAAAAACCUAGAGGCAAUAUUUUAACAUCAUCUCCUGUUUUAAAAAUUCAUUUAAAAUACAAGCUCAAAAAAGUCAAAAGUGGUUAGGAUCUAGAUUAGAUAACAUUUUGAAAGAAUGUUAAAGAUGAAGAAAAUAUUAAUGCACAUAUAUACACACACAUUUAUAUGCAUAUAAUACAUAUACACACACGUAUAUAUAUGUAUCUUCAUUUUAAUCAUAAAAUAAUCCCUAAAAAGAUGUGUACAUGUAUCAAAUUUAAAUAAGUUAAAUGUACUAAUGAUACUCGUUUUUAAAUAUAAUUCCAUGUCAAUCUGCUUAAUGAAGUACAGAAACAUCAGCUAACUCUGUAAAUUAAGAUAGGCAGCUUUAAGAUUUGCUUUAGAGUGUGGUAUGCCUAUAUAUGCAAAUCUCCUUUCAGGUCAUUUCAACAAUUUUAUCAUUAGGAGUACGGGAUUCAUAUUAUUUCAAAUGUGGUAAGUUGAACAAAAUCAAUACUGAACAACAUACCUUUCAGAUAAAUUAAGGCUUUGGCGAAGAGGUUCUAAUUUUUGACAUGUCUCUAGGCUGUCAACAGAUGUCGAAGGCAAUGAGUCUGAUUGCACCUUGUUGGCAUCACAUAAAUUAGCAUCGUUUCUAGGUAGGGUCUUUCUGAAUUUUCGUCCUAAAUCCGUCCAUAGGACAUUCGUCAACAUAACUUUGAGUUGCCUGUUAUACACAUAAAUAAUUAGUAUAUAUGGUACUACACAUUGUAGAAUACAUGAAUUCAUCACAAACUAAUAUCUCCAGAAACUGUAAACUUCAGUUCCUCAAGCAACUAUAGUAAAUACCCUAAGAAAAAAGAAAAAAUGCCUAACUAUUAUCAAAGAU